AACGAACGCUGGCGGCGUGCCUAACACAUGCAAGUCGUGCGAGAAAGUUCCUUCGGGAGCGAGUAAAGCGGCGCACGGGUGAGUAACACGUAGGUAACCUGCCCCCCAGUCUGGAACAACUAGAGGAAACUCUAGCUAAUGCCGGAUGAGACCACGAUCCCUUCGGGGGUUGCGGCCAAAGAUGGCCCCUACUUGUAAGCUAUCGCUGAGGGAUGGGCCUGCGGGCCAUUAGCUUGUUGGUGAGGUAACGGCUCACCAAGGCUGUGAUGGCUAGCUGGUCUGAGAGGAUGACCAGCCACACUGGGACUGAGACACGGCCCAGACUCCUACGGGAGGCAGCAGUGGGGAAUAUUGCGCAAUGGGCGAAAGCCUGACGCAGCGACGCCGCGUGGGUGA
rnacentral:rRNA from 1 species